ACUCCGGUGGCCUAGUGGUUAGAGCGUCCACCUGGGAUGCGAAUGGUCGUGGGUUCGAUCCCGUGCAAAGUC